rnacentral:rRNA from 1 species
CCCUUAGAUGUUCUGGGCCGCACGCGCGCUACACUGAUGCAUGCAACAAGUCUUUUCCUUGGCCGAGAGGCCUGGGCAAUCUUUGAAUAUGCAUCGUGAUGGGGAUAGACGAUUGCAAUUAUUCGUCUUCAACGAGGAAUUCCUAGUAAACGCAAGUCAUCAGCUUGCAUUGAUUACGUCCCUGCCCUUUGUACACACCGCCCGUCGCACCUACCGAUUGAAUGGUCCGGUGAAGGCUUCGGAGGCGGCUUUCUCAAUGUUUAUUCGGCGAGACUGCUGCCAAAGUUGAAUGAACCUUACCAUUUAGAGGAAGGAGAAGUCGUANCA